GGGAUCAAACGUAGUCAGCCUCGCUUUUUAAUUAGGGUUCGAGGGAAAAAAAAAAAAGGCGUGCUUCAGUAAUCCGUAUAAUCUUAGGCCCAAUAUUCUUCUAGGGAUUGAUGUAAAGUAAAAAAAAGAAAAAACAAAGGAGAAAAUUAAAAAUUAAAAAUGAUGAAAUUUCAAUAAAACCCCUAAAUUCUGCUAUAAAUACCACGUCUCUCCUUCCCUACCCCUACAUUGUUCUCUUUCUCUCUCUUAUCUUGCUUUCUUAGGGUUCUGAUUAUCUUGUGAAUCUCGUGCGGGGGCUAUCAGAAGAGAACGAAUCCUAUAUAUAAUGAUGAUGAUGAUGAUGGCGACGAUGGUUCACCAAGGGAAAUGGCCUAAUUAACAGGUAUUCGUUCGAUCCGUAAUUUAAGGAAUUUUUUCAUGAUAUUGAUAGAAGCAGAAAUUACUGUGAGAAACUAGAAACUCUCGUUUCAGCAGAUCUUAUCGUAAUCCAUUUGGAGCUUGAGAUAUUUGUAUGUUUCAGCAAUUUUAAUUUAAUAAAUUAAGCAGGAAAAUUUUAUUUGAAGAUUAUGGUAUGGUGGUUGAUUAAUUUGCACAUGAUGAACAUUUGUGAUAUGUAUCAUGUAAGUGUAGCUGUUUGAAUCCACAAUAUAUAUUUAUUUAUUUAUGUGAAUAUUUUUAUGUGGUCUUGGCUUGCUACUUGCUAAUCUUGUCUGAUGAAUUUUGAAUAUUAUAUAAUUAAUUUUGGUGUCUUUUUGCUCUUAUUUUGAAUGAAUGUGUGUAUGUAAUUGUAAACCUAAAAAUACUAGAAAAAGUUACAACUCACAUUGGAAUUAAAGGUCGUCAUCAUCAUCAUUGAGAAAUUUUCAAUUUAUAUAUAGAACAUACAUGUCCCUCAUUUCAUUAAUUAUAUAUCUAUCUGUAUUUAUAUUUGUACCCUUCAGUAAUAAUUAUUAUUUAAUAUGUAUAUUCUAUAACCUUCAGAUGCAGGACAAGCAUAACCGAGUAUAAUUUAACACCAUCGUUAUCUUGAAUUGUUACUCAUACAUAUAUUUUAUUAACAAUUAUAAACGUUUUUAUAUAGUAUUAAUUCAUUAGUUUACAAAAAUCAAGAGAGUAUAUCCAGAUUCAUAUAUCUUAGCUAAUAAGCUGGAUCAAGAUACUGUAUGUGGUUAUUAAAAGGGUAUAUAAAUAUCUUCAAAUAAUUAAAUCAGAACAAAGAAAACACUUGUUUUGUUUUGGGUGCACGGGGGACUAAUAACCAGAAGGAACAAUUUUCAGUUAGAGAUUGUUAGGGAAUGGACCACAGAGAGAGUGUAGUGACCAUUAUGCCUUAGGUAGCUACCUUUAUCUCUCUCUCUCUCUCCAACAACUUAUGAAUGCUUUUAAGCCCCAUUGGUUGAUGACCCUAGCAAGAGGAGGGAGGGGGAUUAUUAGGUGAAGGCUUUUAUGGGAAAGAUUAACCAUAAGGAUCCACACAAGAAUUAACCUAUGGUGGUGAAUUGGAGCAAAAAGAAAUGAAAUAAUAAAGGCUAUAUCUACUACUAUAUGCAGAAGAAGAAGCAGCCUGUGGUGGAAGCUAGGGUUUUCUUUAUUUUCCCAAUCAAGUUAGAGACAAGAACCAUUUGCUACAAAUGGUGGAGUUUUAGACCACCUGCCAAGUACUAUUUCUUUCAUUAUUUUUGUGCCGAGGAGAAUCGGAUCGCUUUGAAUCAGAGAGAAAUAUCCCUCAAAAAGCAUUAGAAAUUAGAAACGGUAAAAAAGCAUCUACCUUAGCUUGCAUGGGCUUGAAGAAGAAGUGACCAAUCCCCAAAAUAAAUAACAUCCUACACUGUCUAUUAUUCUCCCUUUGGUUUAUAAUAUCUGACAAUUAAACCGACAAAACGGUGAGCUUCAAGCUCCAUCAAAACUUUACAUGGUCAUGGUGCAUUCACGGGCAUUAUGAGUUUUCUUUUUUUCCUUCUAAAGAUAUAUAAUGCAAAAGUCAUGAAUAUGCCACUUUACUCUUGCUAAAUCAAUAUCCUAAUCCUACAUGUUACCCACUAAUCUAACAUGUAUAUUCUCAUUUGUUCCUUAUUCAAUGGCUUUCAUAAAUAUAAUGCUUUAAUUUUAAACGGACUCAGCAACAUGUCCUGCUUUUUCCUCCUUUGUUUGGAUCUAUUAGUUGUUUGUAUUAUUCACUAUUGUAAUAACCUCAGCCUCUAUAUUACUUUAUGCAAAAGUGCUUCUUGCUAGCUCACCCAUCAUGCAUGGUGCGUUGUUGCAAUCAAAUGAUGUGAAUUGUGUGAUUGUAUUGAUGUUAUAUAUUAUAUCUAUACUUCAGUAAUUUUUUUUUUGCUUCUUCGGAGAAUGGUUGAACUGGAAAAGUUAGAUUUUCUUGUGCUCCGUGAUAUACAAAAGAGGGGAAGAUCGGUGAAAAGAAACGACAGGGAGGCAAUAAAUUAAUGGACAAACCUCUUGAUCUUGCUGUCUUAGCAGUGCCACUUUUGUCUUGUGGCUACAACCAUCUUUCUAUAUAUUUUAAAUGCUUUUCAAAAAUUUCGUAGCCCCUUAAUUCAUGAGCUUUUUUAGCUUAUCGCAUUGGCAUAGAUCGAUCUAGCCAACUAGAAAGAGAAAAAGAAAAUGUUAAUUAAUUAGUUAUUAUAGUUCUAAUCCACCGUCCCCAUAUAUGAUGCUAUUAUGUAUCCCUUCAUUCUAGCCAAUAUUGCAUUCUUCUAUGAAAUGAAGAUGCAAACAUGUCUACAUGUUUCCCUCAUUUAUUAAUUGUAUGUAAAUGUUUUGUAGCUUUUAUCUAUGCAAUUAUAGUCAACUACCUACCUUCCACACUCGCACAACACAUAUAUUUAAUUAGUCCUUUAUUUUCUACCCCCCUUAGCGAGGAGGAAAAAGAGAAUGAAGAAUAAGAAAUUGAAUAAGCCAUAUAUAUAUAUAAAUAGUUUCUUGGUAACUCAGGUUAAAAAUGAGCAUAAUAUAUGUAUGUAUAUAUUGAAGAUUGUACGGUAAUGUAUGUGAUCACCAUGAUUGUUCUUUGUCGAUGGGUACAAUUUCUAAUUUGGCAUCAUGGGUCAACACAGUUUCCAUUUAUUGUUAUUUUGGCACUUUCACUUGCGAAAGGGGAAAAGGAGUUAUUAUUUUGAUUGGGGCGUCCUCUUUGUAUGGGUGGUUCAUCACUGAGUUACUUACGUCAAUAGCAUACCCUACCAUUGAUGGUGGGCAUGUAGUGUUAUUGUUGUCAUUUCAUUACUCCUCAUAUAUAUAUAUAUGAUGAUGAUAUCAUUCAUUUUCUUCAAUUAUAUCUAUCUAUCUAUCACGGGGCACCUAAUCUGUAAAUAUAUACAAAUUAAAGCCAGCCAACUCCAACGGAUUCUGCCGACAUUAUGCUUUAAAGACUAAUCCUAUGCCUAACAGGUUUGGUUUUAUGUGCGUGCCUCUUAAUUGAACUCACCUACAUCUGAUAUACAAGACAAUUCUCUUUUAGCAAUGUUUACUAUAUAGUAAAAUUACUUGUCUCAAUUGGUAUAUAUUUUUAUCUUUUUCUACUUUUGAAGAAUAAUCACUUAAGAAGCAUGUACCAAUCAAAUCAACCCUUUAUUAGUGUUAAUGAUCGAUAGGGCUCACAGGUCACAAUACAAUACAUGAGCUGAUCAGACCAGCACCAUGAAGAACGGAAAAUUGUUUGUUUAUGUAUGUGGUGCUGCUUAUUAAUCGAUGUCAAGUGGGUCAAGCUAAGCACGCUUGCUCCAAAUAUUGCAUUUUGAAUGGUGCUACCUACUGUUGCACUU